rnacentral:rRNA from 1 species
GAUGAACGCUAGCUACAGGCUUAACACAUGCAAGUCGAGGGGUAACGAGAGGAAAGCUUGCUUUCCUUGUCGACGACCGGCGCACGGGUGAGUAACGCGUAUCCAACCUGCCCCCAACUAGGGAAUAACCUUGCGAAAGUAAGACUAAUACCCUAUAAUUUCCUCAGAUGCCAUCUGACGAGGAAUAAAGAUUUAUCGGUUGUGGAUGGGGAUGCGUCUGGUUAGCUUGUUGGCGGGGUAACGGCCCACCAAGGCAACGAUCAGUAGGGGUUCUGAGAGGAAGGUCCCCCACAUUGGAACUGAGACACGGUCCAAACUCCUACGGGAGGCAGCAGUGAGGAAUAUUGGUCAAUGGGCGGAGGCCUGAACCAGCCAAGUAGCGUGCAGGAUGACGGCCCUAUGGGUUGUAAACUGCUUUUAUACAGGAAUAAAGUUAGCCACGUGUGGUUAUUUGUAGGUACUGUAUGAAUAAGGACCGGCUAAUUCCGUGCCAGCCGCCGCCGUAA